UACGAAGGGGGCUAGCGUUGCUCGGAAUCACUGGGCGUAAAGGGUGCGUAGGCGGGUCUUUAAGUCAGGGGUGAAAUCCUGGAGCUCAACUCCAGAACUGCCUUUGAUACUGAGGAUCUUGAGUUCGGGAGAGGUGAGUGGAAACUGCGAGUGUAGAGGUGAAAUUCGUAGAUAUUCGCAAAGAACACCAGUGGCGAAGGCGGCUCACUGGCCCGAUACUGACGCUGAGGCACGAAAGCGUGGGGAGCAAACAGG
rnacentral:rRNA from 1 species